GGAAACUGCCGAAAGUCGCUGGGCGCCUCGAGAUUCGUUGCCGCGGCUCCAGAGCAGCAGACCUCGGCUACUUUCGUGAUGCUAGUUAUUUCAAAAAUUGUUUCUUUUAAUUUGUAUCCAUUUGUAAGUAGAGAGAACAACCUGGAAAGCUAAACUCAAAAAGACGAGAAAAUACACUUCUAUUUCAAUAAAUGGAACAUUAGUUUUAAGAACUGCCAAAGCAGUUCUUAUUAAAAUCCUUCAUUAAAGUUUUCAUAGCCAAAAAAGGGAUUCGGCAAAUGCAACUUGAUUAAUUAGCUGGGCUAUGGACUAAUCCUUUAUGAAGCUGCUCCAGCCACUGGGGAUCAUCAGUAUGACUUCAGGUGUAACUUGCGUUGGCCACAUCUACUGUACAGAUUCAGCAGAGAAUGACACAGGCGAUUUCCCUAUGCUGUCUUCAGACAUCAGUUAUCAAGAACCCUGGAGGGAAGAAUUUGGAUCAGAAGAACGAGUGGCAAAAGAGAGAAGAAGUGCCAUUUACUCAGGUGGACUGCACUCCAAUUUGAUGAAUCUAAUCUCCUGGCUUUAUACCAGAACAUCUGGGAUGAUAGAACUAUGCUACCUGAAGCAAGGAUCAGGAGGAAAUGUGACAGCAUCGCUUUGGCUUAUCAGUCCUUCCUGAUUUUCCAGUUGCUUCUCUCAGACUCCAUAGUGUGAGGGUUAAAAUCACCAAAAAACAGACAACACUGAAGCAUGUUAUUCAAAACUGUUUACAGAGGAUCAUUGCAUGAACUGAAGUUGAAGGAGUUAAGAGUCAAAUGCUUCAGAACUUUUCAGAUCGUAUUUCUACAGCUGGAGGCUUCCCAUGCACAAAGACCAGUAGUGUAAGCUCUCCUGAUUUUGAUUUUCAGAAAACGUUGUCAUGAAUUGUCAGCAUCAUGAAGUGGUUUAUAGUUUGACUUUUUUUUACGUGUGUAUGAAAAUAUGUGCUUUUAGAUAGCUCAGAAGUGAAAAGAAUUAGUAUCUUAGAAACUGAAGGAAUGAGAAUAAAUGGGGUGCUAACUGGAUCUCAACUUUGACAACCUGUAUGAUCAAUGACACAGAAUAAAAAUUAUUCAGAAAAAUUUUAUGAAGUACUUUGAUGUAGUUAUAUAUGAUGCUACAGUACAAAGAAAAAUAACUAAAUCAUUGACAAAUUAUCAAGUGUCCACGUGCUUCCUCAUAGAAAAUACAGUAAUAUUCAUCACAUGAAAAUUAAAAAUGCAUGUUGCUAAGCUUGAGACAUUCAUUGUGUAUUUUAAAAUGUACCAUUAUAUACAUUUUCAUCACUUUUCAUGAGUAAAGUGAAACAAACUGAAAGUAGCAGUUCAUCAGUUUCUUACUAACUGUGACAAUAGCAGUAUUUUCUCACUGACCAGAUAAGAUGGGAAAAUGUUAAGUGUUUUUCUCACAGAUGGAUUAUUUACUGAAUAAUAUAACAUGCAUUUCCAACAGCAACUCGCCUGAAGUUGUUUGUCAAAGUUCUGAUAGAAAUAAUUUAAAAUAAAAAGCUCUGUAACAGUAUGAAGAGGUCUGUAUGAGAACACUGACAUUUAACACAGUCUGUCGAAGCAUGGAUAUUUACAGUACAUUAAUUAUAGUGUGUCUCUUCUUGGUUGAUGAAUGUUCUUGCUGGCUAACAGUUUGCUUUAUCUGACAUUUUUAUCAUUCGUGAACUUAAGUAAAGAACAUAAUCUAAAACAUAUAUCUCUGCCACUGCAUUACUCUAUUUUCAUUUAUUAUAUUUUUUGUCAAGGUGGGUAAAAAUUGAGUUAUGUCCUCCCACUCAUGCAUUCUGAAACAAAAUGCCACAUUGCUUCUAUGUAGAAAUAUUUUUGAGUUUGUUACUGAUGGGAAAUUUCAGAUCUCUAUUCAGAAACAAAAGUGGUUAUUAGGACUUCUAAAUAGAAAUUCCAUGUUCUCAUCUUCUAUUAUUAAAAGUUAAUUUCUUUAUAGCAUAGGUGAUGUCCUUUAUCCUAUAUUUACAGAAGUUAGCAACAUGGCCUUAUAAAAAUAAACCAAACAAGAAUAAAUAAAAGCAAGC
rnacentral:lncRNA from 7 species